rnacentral:tRNA from 1 species
GGAGGGGUUCCCGAGUGGCCAAAGGGAACAGACUGUAAAUCUGUCGGCGAAGCCUUCGUAGGUUCGAAUCCUACCCCCUCCA